GACGAACGCUGGCGGCGUGCUUAACACAUGCAAGUCGAACGGAAAGGCCCUGCUUUUAUGGGGUGCUCGAGUGGAGAACGGGUGAGAAACACGUGAGUAACCUCCUCUUGACUUUGGUAUAACUUCAGGAAACUGGGGAUAAUCCCGGAUAGGAGAUCCUGCUGCUUGUUGGGGGAUGGAAAGUUUCGGCGGUUGGGGAUGGACUGGGGGCUUAUCAGCUUGUUGGUGGGUUAGUGGCUUACCAAGGCUUUGAUGGGUGGCCGGCCGGAGAGGGGGACCGGCAACAUGGGGACUAGGAUAGGGCCCAGACUCCAACGGGAGGAGGCAGGGGGGAAUAUUGCACAAUGGGGGGAAGCCUGUGGCAGCAACGCGGCUGGCGGGUUGACGGCUUUGGGGUGGUAACCCGCUUCCGCCGGUGACGAGGCGUGAGUGACGGUAACUGGUAAAGAAGCACCGGCUAACUACGUG
rnacentral:rRNA from 1 species